GAUGAACGCUGGCGGCGUGCCUAAUACAUGCAAGUCGAGCGAACGGACGAGAAGCUUGCUUCUCUGAUGUUAGCGGCGGACGGGUGAGUAACACGUGGAUAACCUACCUAUAAGACUGGGAUAACUUCGGGAAACCGGAGCUAAUACCGGAUAAUAUUUUGAACCGCAUGGUUCAAAAGUGAAAGACGGUCUUGCUGUCACUUAUAGAUGGAUCCGCGCUGCAUUAGCUAGUUGGUAAGGUAACGGCUUACCAAGGCAACGAUGCAUAGCCGACCUGAGAGGGUGAUCGGCCACACUGGAACUGAGACACGGUCCAGACUCCUACGGGAGGCAGCAGUAGGGAAUCUUCCGCAAUGGGCGAAAGCCUGACGGAGCAACGCCGCGUGAGUGAUGAAGGUCUUCGGAUCGUAAAACUCUGUUAUUAGGGAAGAACAUAUGUGUAAGUAACUGUGCACAUCUUGACGGUACCUAAUCAGAAAGCCACGGCUAACUACGUGCCAGCAGCCGCGGUAAUACGUAGGUGGCAAGCGUUAUCCGGAAUUAUUGGGCGUAAAGCGCGCGUAGGCGGUUUUUUAAGUCUGAUGUGAAAGCCCACGGCUCAACCGUGGAGGGUCAUUGGAAACUGGAAAACUUGAGUGCAGAAGAGGAAAGUGGAAUUCCAUGUGUAGCGGUGAAAUGCGCAGAGAUAUGGAGGAACACCAGUGGCGAAGGCGACUUUCUGGUCUGUAACUGACGCUGAUGUGCGAAAGCGUGGGGAUCAAACAGGAUUAGAUACCCUGGUAGUCCACGCCGUAAACGAUGGGUGCUAAGUGUUAGGGGGUUUCCGCCCCUUAGUGCUGCAGCUAACGCAUUAAGCACUCCGCCUGGGGAGUACGACCGCAAGGUUGAAACUCAAAGGAAUUGACGGGGACCCGCACAAGCGGUGGAGCAUGUGGUUUAAUUCGAAGCAACGCGAAGAACCUUACCAAAUCUUGACAUCCUUUGACAACUCUAGAGAUAGAGCUUUCCCCUUCGGGGGACAAAGUGACAGGUGGUGCAUGGUUGUCGUCAGCUCGUGUCGUGAGAUGUUGGGUUAAGUCCCGCAACGAGCGCAACCCUUAAGCUUAGUUGCCAUCAUUAAGUUGGGCACUCUAAGUUGACUGCCGGUGACAAACCGGAGGAAGGUGGGGAUGACGUCAAAUCAUCAUGCCCCUUGUGAUUUGGGCUACACACGUGCUACAAUGGACAAUACAAAGGGCAGCGAAACCGCGAGGUCAAGCAAAUCCCAUAAAGUUGUUCUCAGUUCGGAUUGUAGUCUGCAACUCGACUACAUGAAGCUGGAAUCGCUAGUAAUCGUAGAUCAGCAUGCUACGGUGAAUACGUUCCCAGGUCU
rnacentral:rRNA from 1 species